rnacentral:miRNA from 1 species
GAAAGGAUGAGAGGGGAGGAUGGGAGGGAGGAGUAACAAAAGUGAAAACAAUUUCAAAUAGAUUUCAGGUUUUAGUUUUUGUUUUCACUUUUGUUACUCCUCCCUCCCAUCCUUCCCUCUCAUAUUCCCUC